GAGUGUAUAGCUCAGUGGUAAAGCAUAUGCUUAGCAUACAUGAGGUCCUGGGUUCAAUCUCCAGUACCUCCA
rnacentral:tRNA from 1 species